rnacentral:siRNA from 1 species
AGACUGUAGUCACACGGCC